rnacentral:misc_RNA from 1 species
AACGUCCCUUACGGGACAUGCCCAUCGUUCAGUUUUGAGAGCUCGUCUCUCACGUCUCGCAAGAGACACUCGCACCUUGAAAACUGAAGACAUCAACAAGACAUCAAACUUUUAAUUAACCAUGUCAUUUAAGACGUGUGUUCUUAGAAUACCAACGCU